rnacentral:lncRNA from 1 species
AGAUCUAGUAACUCUAAAAGAAGGGUUGGAUGUAAGGCUUGGAGAUGGAGAGAAGAGCAAGAAAGAAAGAAGAGAAGGGGAGAGUUAACUUUUUUUGAACUUUAUGUGACCUAAAGUUCUCAAUCAAACCUUUACUCUGAUGGUACUCCCAAUUGGUCCCAUACUAUAUCUAUGUCACAUAAAGUUUUCAAUCAAACCUUGAUUUCCAUCAAUCAGACCCUCGUAACUCACCAAUUACUUAACUUUUUCUAUAAAUUGAAGAAGAAGAAAAGAUGGUUGUCAAGCAUUGUAAGGGAAGAAGAAGCAGCAGGAGAAGAAGAAGAAGCAGGGGAACAAUUGUAGGUAAUUUUCUAAUUUCAUACAAAACUCCAUUUGCUUGCAAAAUGUUGAAGAGAUUUCGUAUAAAACUCCAUUUUCUAAAUUCAUAUAAAACAGAGCAAAACCCAAGAAGAAACUCCACUUCUUCUUCUUUCUAUUAUAAGUUGAAGAGAUUUCAACUUUGAAAGGUGAAAUAGAAUGUGAGUGUUGCUUGUUGUUUGUUGCUAUUGUUGCUGUUCAGUACUUCAGUUGGCUGUUUGAGCGCUAUCUAGUGUACUAGAGUUAGUUCAUACCUACACAGAUUUAGAGUCUAAGAAACGUUUAUCUAGAUUCAGCUCGAAAGUGUUGUUCUAAUUCGGAGUACCAAAACGGCUAAACCUAUUGAUGUUUUCAAUUUGUUGAGACCUAGGUAGCACGGACUCGGACACGGAUACGGACACGGACUCGGACACGGACACGGCGAUACGACAAUAUCUAAAAAUAUAGGACACGGACACGGCAUGGACACGGGAAUUAAAUAAUAUAUUUUUUUUAAUAUAUAUGUACAAAACAUGUAUAAAACACUAAAAUCAAAUGAGAUAUCAUAUCAAUAAGGUUUUGGAGGGAAAUAGAAUCUGAUGAUUUGGGUUACAGGCCCAAUGGAAAUGACUUUGGGUUUGGACCAAAUUUUAGGUUCGAUUUAAAUUUUAAACCCAACAAAGUAUAAUUGGAUUGGGUUGGAUUUCUCUGAACCAUUUUAGGCACAUUAGACCAUGUUUUUAGUCAACAACAGUAGGUGCUUAAGUGGUUUCUUGGUUGCUCAUUGCUGGUCAGUGGUUUGCAGGUUGGUUCUUCAACAAUGCAAGUUCCUAGUAAUGGGAUAAACAUCCUGAUAACUACGAAGAAAAGUCUUUGGUCAUUAAUUUCUACAGAUCAGCACGUUAUAGAUUUGAUUACAGAUUUGAGUGCACCAAUCAAACGAAAUUGAUUACAGAUUUGAUUACAGAUUUGAGUGCACCAACAAAUUGAUUACAGAUUUGAGUGCACCAACAAAUCGAAAUUGAGUGCACCAAAGAAGAAGAAGAAGAAGAAGAACUUACCAGAAGAAGAAGAACUUACCAGUAGCAGCAGUAGCAGGUCGUUCUUCUUCGUUUGAAUGUUUGAAUGGAGACUCGAGAGUGAAGAUCGAUCGAGAUUCGAGAGUGAAGAGAGAGAAGUUCGAUCGAGAGUGAAGAGAGAGAAGUUUGAAUGUUUGAUCGAGAGUGAAGAGAGAGAAAGAAAAGUAAUAUCUGUUCUCUCCGUGUCCCGAUCCGUGUCCCGAUCCGUGUCCGAUCGAAUCUGCACGUGCGUGUCGGACACGUGUCCGAGCCGUGUCCGUGUCCGAACCGUGUCUGACUCUGCUACUCCUCCUAUUUUUGAAGUGUCCGUGCUACCUAGGUUGAGACUAAUUCAAAGUUAUUGCCAACUGGUUGAAACUUGUAAAUAACUGCAAUUUCAUCCUCAUAUAUCAUCAAAUACGUUGGGCUUUUC